rnacentral:lncRNA from 1 species
UUUUACCUUUUUGCUAUUAUAAUAAUAAUAUAAAGAAAUUAGAAAAAUGAGAGGAAAAAAGGAGUUAGAGUUUUUCAAGGAGUUGAUAGUCAUUUCCUUAGAAGAAAGUAUAGAGGUAGCAAGAAGUAAAGUAGAUAUACAUGCUUUUCAAACAAAGACUUUUCUAACAGUUUUCAAACAAAUACUUUUCUAACCAAAAGUAAAACCAUUCUUACUCUCUUUCCUACCUUUCAAUUAUUUUGUAUUAUUUUAAUUUAAAUUAAAGAAAUUUAUUAAGGCUCUUAAGGUAGUCA